UUCAUUUUAUAAAUACAAUAACCUGAGGCUCUUCAUUGCUGGUGACUCACACAGGCACACACUCAGCAUUGCUGAUGUCAGCUCAGGAUCCAGAAUGCAUUUGAACAAUUCAUGCUAAAUUAAUAAAUGCACUUUAAUAUAGGCCCAUAUUAAUCCCAAAAUAACUAAACCUGUGGAAUUUGUAAAAUAAGAUGUUUAUGAAUGAGGACAUGGCAUUUUGACUUAGUUCUGAUUCCCCCCUUUCUGAAAGCAGAAUCUACAGUCUAUUUUCCCAUUGCUAGAUUUCAGAGGAGAGCCUGGUGUCACUUACAGCAGACAUUGCAGAUGCCUCAGCAUUUCGGAUGAAGACGUAACCAAGGAGCCUUUGAUUAGUAGUGAAAUUGUGGCACCCCAACAAUGGUGGAGUGGAAUAUCCUGCUACUCUGGAGGGGUGAUGGCUCAGGGUCAAGACUGAACUAAUUAGAAAAAGAAAUGCACUCCAGGAAUAUCAAGUCCAAAACGAAGCUCUUCAAACCAUCUGGGAAGAGAAAACAGCAUGACAAGGAAAGGACCCUGAUGUCUGAGGAAGAAGGUUCCCGUCCAGCUCUGCCCCUGGUGUGUCACGUGCCGGCCUUGUCAACGCACAGGAGAACCUGACAGGGUGAGUGUUAUAACCCCAAUCAUAGAAAAGGAAACGUCUCUAAAGUCUUUAGCAUCUUGCCCGAGUUCGGACACUUAGCAGAGGCCUGAGUUUAGAUGCAGCCCCGUCUUGCUCUUUGACAGCCUCAGCACCACGUGCCCUGGGUGACCCACGCAGAGUCACUGACAACCCUCUUGGUUGGCUCAUGGCACAGCGUGGAGCGAAAUGGCCCACUGACUUUUCCAGACACUUUGACAAUUCGUGAUAUAGUUUAUGCGGUCACUCCCAGUGAGUUCUAUUGUUCAGUUUAAUAGAAUACCUAAUUCUGUGUUUAUUAUGAAUAAAGGGAGAUUUCUUGUGGUUUUUAAGAAUAUGAAGGAUAUCUAUUUUGUAUACAAGUUGGAAGUUCCAAUACUAUAGGAAGCAUAAGUGCAGGUUU
rnacentral:lncRNA from 1 species